rnacentral:tRNA from 1 species
GGUUGUAGCUCAGCUGGUUAGAGUGCCGGCCUGUCACGCCGGAGGUCGCGGGUUCGAGCCCCGUCACUC